CCCGAGAUAACGGUAUAAUUAAUUGGAGAUCUCGAUAAAACAAUAAUGUCGUGUCACAGGCGGAACUGCAUUCACUUGCGUUGUUUCCGAGGGGAACAAUAUUACAGCGACACCUGAGGUGCAGGUAAACAACAGCUCUUUGGUAAACGCUGGCAUGCCAAUUCAGUUUGUUAAUCAAUGAAAAGCAAAGCCACGAGAGCCACUUUAGUAAUUAACCACUCUAGCGGUAGGCAGGCGUGCAAUUUAAACGCAUCAGCUAUCCGGAGAGGAACAUAGCCGAGAGGGAACAGUGAAGAACUGGAGGAGUUGUAAACUGUGAAAUCGCUGGGGAGGACCCCAUCACGGACGGGAAACGAUGGACGGAGCCCCCCUUCUGCCCUUUGGGUAAGCCCCAGCCCACAGGAAACCAGGCGGCUCCGACCUACUGUACCCACUCCUGCCGGAACGCCACCACAUCUCCCCAACGUUGGUCUGUCUUCACGUGUCACAUUUGAUGUAGCUGCACAGCCCGCUGGUACCGGACGGGACCUAUCAGAUCGGACUAUUGCUGCUUUCCCCUCCCCCAAAGACGGGGACCUCAUCGGGCUCCCAUCCACCCCCUGACCUGUGGACUAGUGCUGUUCUCUCCUGCCCCUUCCAACCAGCUCGCCCAAGUUGAUUGACCUACAGUGUGCUGUGUAUACCGGUAGUUAUUCACCCUACUUACAUGGAUUGCUGUGUUCUCAUUGUGUGGUCUCAUUUUAAAUUAAAAAAAUUCAACCCUUUAAUUCUGUAGUCCCGUGUGUCUUAUU